GAAUCACUUUUUCCAUAUCUUCAUAGUUGGGUCCUACUCUCAGAUUCUGAAUCAGUCCAUAUGUAUUGAGGCCUGGACAAAAGUAGUUUUAAAAGCUUUCCAGAUUAUAACGCAUAAGACCCCUAAUUAAGAAUCAACUAAUAGUGGGGCGCCUGGGUGGCUCAGUGGGUUAAGC